rnacentral:rRNA from 1 species
GACGAACGCUGGCGGCGUGCUUAACACAUGCAAGUCGAACGGAAAGGCCCUGCUUGCAGGGUACUCGAGUGGCGAACGGGUGAGUAACACGUGGGUGAUCUGCCCUGCACUUCGGGAUAAGCCUGGGAAACUGGGUCUAAUACCGGAUAGGAGCCAUUUUUAGUGUGAUGGUUGGAAAGUUUUUUCGGUGUAGGCUGAGCUCGCGGCCUAUCAGCUUGUUGGUGGGGUAAUGGCCUACCAAGGCGGCGACGGGUAGCCGGCCUGAGAGGGUGGACGGCCACAUUGGGACUGAGAUACGGCCCAGACUCCUACGGGAGGCAGCAGUGGGGAAUAUUGCACAAUGGGCGCAAGCCUGAUGCAGCGACGCCGCGUGGGGGAUGACGGCCUUCGGGUGGUAAACGCCUUUCGCUAGGGACGAAGCUUUUUGUGACGGUACCUAGAUAAGAAGCACCGGCUAACUACGUG